rnacentral:rRNA from 1 species
UACGGGGGGGGCAAGCGUUGUUCGGAAUUACUGGGCGUAAAGGGCUUGUAGGUGGCCAACUAAGUCAGACGUGAAAUCCCUCAGCUUAACUGGGGAACUGCGUCUGAUACUGGAUGGCUUGAGUUUGGGAGAGGGAUGCGGAAUUCCAGGUGUAGCGGUGAAAUGCGUAGAUAUCUGGAGGAACACCGGUGGCGAAGGCGGCUCACUGGCCCGGUACUGACGCUGAGGUGCGAAAGCGUGGGGAGCAAACAGG